rnacentral:rRNA from 1 species
GCAGAAUCUCGUGAAUCAUCGCAUCUUUGCACGCACAUUGCG